UUCAUGAACUGGCUUGGAUGAUUGCGAGAUAUGCUGAACAAGUACUUCAUGUGAUUGGUGGUUCGUUCCUAUAAUUAUUUUUAGAGGGAUGGUAGAGAAAUCGACUUUCUAGGUUACAAGAUUCCAAAGCUAGGUCUCUGUACAUACCUAUACAAAGAGCCAACUGAACUCAACACAAAACAAACACAAACUAUUAGGUGGGGUGGUGGGAGGUAAGUCGUGACUUGUGAAGGAUGAAAAAACCCUGGCAUGGCAUCUCAUAUUUGGUAGAUUUACAUAUCACAACUUAGGUUUCUUUUUCUUUUUCCUUAUUUCAUAUUCCCUCGUUUGAUCCCAUUGACUAUAUCAAGUAUACUCAAUAAUGUUGGAGGCUUUAAUUACAGCUGCUUCUCUGUCUCUUAGUUGAAUAAUGUGUUUUUAUGGUGUUGUGGAUUUCGUAAGAGUACAAGGGAAUGACAAGGACUUUGUAUUUAAAUAUUUACCUAUACAAAGAGCCAACUGAACUCAACACAAAACAAACACAAACUAUUAGGUGGGAUGGUGGGAGGUAAGUCGUGACUUGUGAAGGAUGAAAAAACC
rnacentral:lncRNA from 1 species